UUUAGGGAGGAAAAGAAACCAACUGGGAUUACCUUAGUAACGGCGAGUGAAGCGGUAAAAGCUCAAAUUUGAAAUCUGGUACUUUCAGUGCCCGAGUUGUAAUUUGUAGAAUUUGUCUUUGAUUAGGUCCUUGUCUAUGUUCCUUGGAACAGGACGUCAUAGAGGGUGAGAAUCCCGUUUGGCGAGGAUACCUUUUCUCUGUAAGACUUUUUCGAAGAGUCGAGUUGUUUGGGAAUGCAGCUCAAAGUGGGUGGUAAAUUCCAUCUAAAGCUAAAUAUUGGCGAGAGACCGAUAGCGAACAAGUACAGUGAUGGAAAGAUGAAAAGAACUUUGAAAAGAGAGUGAAAAAGUACGUGAAAUUGUUGAAAGGGAAGGGCAUUUGAUCAGACAUGGUGUUUUUUGCAUGCACUCGCCUCUCGUGGGCUUGGGCCUCUCAAAAAUUUCACUGGGCCAACAUCAAUUCUGGCAGCAGGAUAAAUCAUUAAGAAUGUAGCUACUUCGGUAGUGUUAUAGCUUUUUGGAAUACUGUUAGCCGGGAUUGAGGACUGCGCUUCGGCAAGGAUGUUGGCAUAAUGGUUAAAUGCCGCCCGUCUA
rnacentral:rRNA from 1 species